AACCUCUGAGCUAAGCAGGC
rnacentral:tRNA from 4 species